CUCUCCCUUCUUCUUCUUCUUCUUCUUCUUCUUCUUUAGGGUGCUAUCUGAAGGCUUUCAAGGCCAAAAUAAUCAACUUUCAUCUUCAAUUGACAACGAUCUGAAAAUUGGAUGAAGAUUUUGUUGUCAUUCGACUUGAAUGGACUGUGGUUGAUUGAAUACUUGCAGAUGGUUGAUAAAGCAUUUCUCUGCAAAAGACAUCGCGUGCUUUUGAUAGGAACUCCCUCUUCAGUCAGACAAAAAAUCACAACAGAAACACGACGUGCACUGCAGACAUUUUAACAACAGAAAGACGGUGCAUUGCGGUGACUCCCAGCAGUCAUAUCGUCGUAGCCUUCGGGUUGUCAGCUGUAAGACUU